CUUUCAUGACUGGAUCAAAUCGAGCCAUCAGUUCAACCUCUGAGAACAUUUCCAUUUGACAGAGAGUACAGUGUUUCUGGAUGCACACACACACACGUGAAGAAUCCUGCUGGGGAGAAGUGGAAGAAAAUGGGUCUUCAUCCUCAUCCUCAGGCUCAGACAACAUUUGUGAAGACACCAGUGUGGCUGAGGAGGUGGAUGGCUCCUCAUCCUGAGGCUCCGAGAUCAUUUCUGAAGAGGCCUGUGUGGCAGAGGAGGUGGAUGGCUCCUCAUCCUGAGGCUCCGAGAUCAUUUCUGAAGAGGCCUGUGUGGCCGAGGAGGUGGAUGGCUCCUCAUCCUGGCCAGUGCCAGAGGGUGCUCCAAAAUAUUUCAGAAGUGCCCCUGAAUUUGCAGUGAAAUACAGUCUGACACCCUAAAUACAUUUGUUGCACAAUUAAAUGCACGUCAUUAUGCACAAUUUAUCAAACUUUCAGAAUAGGAACCAAAUGAACCAUACAACCUCAUUGGCUUAUUCUAGGCAUAAGACACCUCAAAAGACUCAAUAUAUCACAAAAGAUACAAAAUAUCGGCAUAAUGUAGACAUCUUUUAAGUUAGCCUACAGCAUUGGAAAUUCCCCUUAUUGAGCUCAGGACCUAGUCAAUACAAUCACAGAAAUCCUUUAUGAUGUCACCUCAAUGAAAGUUAACCAAAUCAAUAAUGUGCUAGUUAGGUUGUAAUCGUUUUGCUGCAGGCUACACACAUUAUCAUGAUAAAACUGUGUGAAAUUAUAUCCAAUGUUAUGGAAGCUAGUUGGACAGAAAACGGAAUAUUGUCACCCUGUGUGUAAUAGCAUAGCAAGCAACAUAGGCUAACAAACAUAAGUGUUAUACUAGCCUAUUUCAUUACAUGCAUAUUAUUGUACUCAUAAAGAG
rnacentral:lncRNA from 1 species